UACGUAGGUGGCAAGCGUUGUCCGGAUUUACUGGGCGUAAAGAGCGCGCAGGCGGUCGUUCAAGUCGCGUGUGAAAGCCCCCGGCUCAACUGGGGAGGGUCACGCGAUACUGAUCGACUCGAAGGCAGGAGAGGGUAGUGGAAUUCCCGGUGUAGUGGUGAAAUGCGUAGAUAUCGGGAGGAACACCAGUGGCGAAGGCGGCGACCUGGACGGACACUGACGCUGAGACGCGAAAGCGUGGGGAGCAAACAGG
rnacentral:rRNA from 1 species